UUACGACCCUACCACGCUGAAACACCAGUUCUAACGAUCACCGAAGUUAAACAACGUCGGGCCUGGUCAGUACCUAGAUGGGUAAACGCUUGGGAAAACGAGGUG